ACUGUAAAAACUCCAACUUGCAAAUUGUUCACUCAGUUUAAAAAUGUAAGUCAAGUGGACACAUUUUUAAGCAAAAUGUUGAGUUUACACAUAAAAACAAGUUAACUCAGUGUUUACUAUAUUUUUCUCAAUGAACACAAAUAAGAAAGUUGAGCGAACUCAGUAUUUUUAUUUCUUCAUUUGAGCGGUCAGCUUGACAUUAUUGCGCAUGCGCAAAGUGCCGUCGCUGAACUAUGCACGGAGUUUACUGCUUCAAACAUAAACAACGAUGGCAAAGGGAGUGGAUGUCUUCUUUUAAGGACACAAAGCCAGAGGAUGUCCACACCAAGGGUAUGAAGAUGAGCAUCUUAACUAUUACUGGAAGAUGAUGUUGUCAUCCACUCAAACCUAAAGGUGCCUAGGAUGUAGUACUAGAGACGCAGAUUGUGUUGGAAUAUAUACAUGGCCUUACCACUGCUGUUGCUGUCCUCUUUGGCUUAAUUUAGAUCAUCCAAAAAAAUGAAAAUUCUGUCAUCAUUUACUCACCGCCAUGUCGAUCCAAACCCAUAAGACAUUUGUUCAUCUUUAAUACACAAAUGAAGAUAUUUUUAAUGAAACCUGAGAUAUUUCUGUCCAUUCACUGAAAAACUAUUCACCUAAAAUUCUGAUGCUUUAAAAUGUUCAUAAAGAGACUGUAAAACAAAUACAUAAGAAUCGAAUGGUUUAAACAAAGUCUUCUGAAGAGACGUGAUCACAUUACACAUCACGCAUUUCACACUAAAUGCUGCUCCAUCUCUGCAAGUGCUGUGAGUUUGAGCCUUAUAUAACAUGUAUUAAAAAAAACCCCAGAAAUUGUAUUAUAUUUUAGUUUUCUAUACAGUGAUAGCUUAAAAGCUAUGUCAAUUAGCACUGCAUUAUAAGUACACUCUAAAAAGAUGAUUCUUUAAAGGUCUAUUUAGAACCGAGUUUAGGUAUUUUUUUUUUAUUCCUGGCUUUUUUAAAAAAAAAAAAAAAUUGUAACUGUCAAAACACCUCAUUACUCAUUUUCUGGACAUCAACUAUCCAGCUACACAGACUAUCAACACAGUUUCAACAGGUGAAGUUCUUUCUUACAAUGUCUAUAAAAUGUUAACUUUCAUAUUGUAACUUGUUUCCCAUUGCCAAUAAUGUCUUUUUCUUUUUUUUAGGUUCUUUUUUGUGUGACCAGCUCUGUUCGGUUAAGGAUACUCUCUUCUCCACUAAGUAAUAGAGAUACAUCAUAUUCACAACCUCAUCAUCUGCAGAGAAACUGCCACUCAAUCACACCACAUUGAUGGGCUUAAAGGCAUCACAGAGGAUCCUGAAGAUACAUUAUUCCCGGAAAUUUUGUCAUUUAUUUUCUAUUUCUAUUUUUACUUUCUGAUGUAUUUUUUUCAUGUUCAUUGUCAACUGUCAUUUAUUAUUUGUAUUUAGCCAAUAACUGUUUUUAGAGCAUUUUCAUUUUUGC